GACAAACGCUGGCGGCAUGCCUAACACAUGCAAGUCGAACGGACAGAACAGGGAAGCUUUUCGGAGUGGAACUGGAAAGUUAGUGGCGGAUGGGUGAGUAACGCGUGGACAACCUACCUUGUAAAGGGGAAUAACCUCGAGAAAUCGAAGCUAAUACCCCAUAAUAACCUUGCUUCGCAUGAAGUAAGGAGGAAAGGCGGCCUUAGCGCUGUCGAUACAAGAUAGGUCCGCGUCUGAUUAGCUAGUUGGUGAGGUAAAGGCUCACCAAGGCGACGAUCAGUAGCCGGCCUGAGAGGGUGAACGGCCACAUUGGGACUGAGACACGGCCCAAACUCCUACGGGAGGCAGCAGUGGGGAAUCUUCCGCAAUGGGCGAAAGCCUGACGGAGCAAUGCCGCGUGAGUGAAGAAGGCCUUCGGGUUGUAAAACUCUGUCCUUAUCGAAGAGAGAGUGUUGUAGUAACUGACAAUACUAGGACGGUAGAUGAGGAGGAAGCCCCGGCUAACUAUGUG
rnacentral:rRNA from 1 species